rnacentral:rRNA from 1 species
AGAGUUUGAUCCUGGCUCAGGACGAACGCUGGCGGCGUGCCUAACACAUGCAAGUCGAACGGACGAGGAGGAGCUUGCUUCUCCAAGUCAGUGGCGGACGGGUGAGUAACGCGUGAGUAACCUGCCCUUCAGAGGGGGAUAACGUCUGGAAACGGACGCUAAUACCGCAUGACAUAUUUCCAUCGCAUGGUGGAGAUAUCAAAGGAGCAAUCCGCUGAAGGAUGGACUCGCGUCCGAUUAGAUAGUUGGCGGGGUAACGGCCCACCAAGUCGACGAUCGGUAGCCGGACUGAGAGGUUGAACGGCCACAUUGGGACUGAGACACGGCCCAGACUCCUACGGGAGGCAGCAGUGGGGGAUAUUGCACAAUGGGCGAAAGCCUGAUGCAGCAACGCCGCGUGAGGGAAGACGGUUUUCGGAUUGUAAACCUCUGUUCUAAGUGACGAACAAAUGACGGUAGCUUAGGAGAAAGCCCCGGCUAACUACGUGCCAGCAGCCGCGGU